rnacentral:lncRNA from 1 species
UCGAUCAUUCUAUGUUGACGUAAUUAUGUUGGAAUAUUGCUCAUUUAUUUAAUUCUAUUAUAAGUAAUAACACAGAAGAUCCAUCCCGAAUCCCUCUGGCCUAGAUAACUCCCUAGUCCGUCGGUAAUCUUUAUACACGUUAAUAAUUCAUCAUUUCCCAUAAUCUAUGCCUGGUUAAAGACGGCUUCUAGAAUCUCCAUUGAGUGGAGUACAUACUCUUCAAGCCUUAGUGGAAUCAUUUCUGCUUGUGUUUCGAAGACGUUGCUACAAGCCAAUCUGAAGGGCAGAGUUCUUGGCCGUACUUUUCACGGAUAAUACAAUCCACCAUUUUAACAAUGAGACCCACUUUUAGCAAAAAUGAAACAAAUAGAAGGAGGUAUCGAUGUUUUCUCUACUAAAAGAGCAAAUUCUAGACUCACCAUUUGUUUUGACUUAUUUGUGAAUAAAGAAGAGGUGGCCAAUCGGUAUCUUACCCAUUUUUUAUGGUAAUCUGUUAGGUCAAGUCUCUCCCAUGUUCUCUUGGCGAUAAGAGACGACACUCUGUUGUUAUCACCGUUUAUUAAAGAUCUUAUUAUACUAUUAGAGAGGGUUUCCACUGCUUGGAAGAAGAGAGUUGAAACUUUACGUUACUGGUUUUGGAAUUUCCUAGAUUAUACCCUCAGAUCUUCCACACAAUUGGUAACGAUCAUCGUCUUUUCUAUAUUAACCAAUAGUGCAGACUUUAUUUUAAAUUUUCCCAAUUUAUGGAAGAUUGCACGAAGGGAUUCUGUUACUUCAUCUCUGGAGCCUGAACAGAAAACGGUGAUAUCAUUAGUAUACAAAAGACAUUUCAUCAGCAGAUAAAAGACAUUGGUUGUUCUUUAAUUAUACAAUGUAUAUGUAAUUUUUAUAGGCGAUAUACAUAUUUAUUGUUCGGAA